AGUGAACGCUGGCGGUAGGCCUAACACAUGCAAGUCGAACGGCAGCACAGUAAGAGCUUGCUCUUACGGGUGGCGAGUGGCGGACGGGUGAGGAAUACAUCGGAAUCUACUUUUUCGUGGGGGAUAACGUAGGGAAACUUACGCUAAUACCGCAUACGACCUACGGGUGAAAGCAGGGGAUCUUCGGACCUUGCGCGAUUGAAUGAGCCGAUGUCGGAUUAGCUAGUUGGCGGGGUAAAGGCCCACCAAGGCGACGAUCCGUAGCUGGUCUGAGAGGAUGAUCCGCCACCCUGAAACUGAGACCCGGUCCAGCCCCCUACGGGGGGCAGCAGUGGGGAAUUUUGGACAAUGGGCGAAAGCCUUAUCCAGCCAUACCGCGGGGGUGAAGAAGGCCUUCGGUUUGUAAAGCCCUUUUUUUGGGAAAAAAAAGCAGCAGGUUAAUACCCCGCUGUUCUGGCGGUACCAAAAAAAAAAGCACCGGCAAACUUCGU
rnacentral:rRNA from 1 species